UUUUACUAGAGUAUUUCACUUCAAAGCUCUGAUGUCUGAGCCUCUCUGGGUGAACUGGAAGUAUCCAUUACCUUCUAACCUUUGAGCUUUGGACAACAAAGCACACAUAGCAUACACACAGGUCUUUGAGGUCUCGCCACACACAGUAGAUACAGCCCCAGGCCUAACGCAUAAAUCUGUGCAAGUGUCUGCGUUCGGUCCAUUGCAAGCAAUUUAAAUCCCAUUUGUCGUUGUUUCUGGUUUUGAUUUGUGUUGGGUUCUUGGGCUGCCUAUAUUUCAAUCCAACGUCGCACCGUGUGCCAAUGUCAACCACUUACGAUGGCGCAAGCGAUUAGCAGAAUUAUGUGCCGUGAAGAAAGGUCCGUUUUGCACAUAAGAUCUGCAGAACUACAUGACUGUGACUUUAUAGAGGCUGAUGGAGAUCUGGUUACCAGGAGAAAAUCAGGUCUGGAUUAGUGUGACCUCAACCCCACAUGCUGGGCUCUUGGAUCUCUAAUUACCUUAUAAACAAACUGAGUGAAGGCUUGGAGUAAACACACACGCAGACAGUACAAAACAAAGAGGAAAUCUCUUAUAAGGCUCACCUUUUGUUCUUGAGGCUCAUUGAACAAAUUCAAGAAAUCAUUGUUGAUAUGAUGUAGGAACGCAACUAUCUCUCCUGUCACGGCUGUCAGUUUGGUUCCCCUCGACGCAACUUCGGAUUUACUCAGGCGACGUUCGGAUAAAAAAACAUUCUUCAAAACAUAUCAGUGUAUCCUAAUUUUGCAUGCAUGUUCAUGGCCAUCAAUAAAAAAAGUCACAAAAAAUCAAGAAUAAAAUCAAGUUAAAUGGUUUUCCGACAGUUUAAUUCUUUCCCCACCAUUGACGAUUUAUCUGGUCAAUUAAGAGAAAAAAAUUGCAUAAAAAAGUGUUCCUGAUGAGGUUUUAUGGUAAUCUGUAAUACCGCGAUUAUCCACUAGAUGGCCACUUACAAAGCAAAACAAAUGUUUUCUAUUUUAAACUCUGUGUAUGUUUUGAUAAUCAUUUUGAAUCUUAUCUCUAACAAAAUUCCUUCACAAAAAUGCAAUUAUUUCAGCUUUUUGCUAAAAUAUUUAAGAGUUUAUACAUAAGCAGAGGAAAAAAAAUAUAGAAAGGAUGAAACUUUUUCCCCC